GAACCCACCUCCACCCAGCGCGCUGCCCCGAUCCCAACUCCAUCUAGCGCGCCGCCGCCCCUAUCCCCUCCUCCCAGAGCGCCUCCGCCUUCCCCGACCCCGGCCGCCUCCCUCCACCACGCACCGCCGUCCUCCUUCCCUAACGCCGGCCGCCGCCCUCCACCACAUGCCGCCCUCCUCCUUCCCCGGCGCCGGCCGCCUCCCUCCACCACGCGCCGCCCUCCUCCUUCCCCUGCGCCGGCCACCUACCUCCAUCGUGCAGAUCCACUCCAUCCCCGUACUCCUCCUUCAUCCUGCUGGGAGAUCUCGUGCGCCGCCCUCUGGCAGCCGGUGAUGCUUCCCCGCCACCAUUCUGCCUCCUUCCCGAUGGGGCAACGAUGCCGCGCGUACAUGAAGUUCAUCGCCGCCACCUCAGGCCGUUCAAUGUCGACGUCUUGGAUGCGCCAUGCUCCAACGCCAUGGCUUGGGCUUCAGCAGCAAACAAUGGAGCCUACAGGAGGAGCCGCGGGGUUGAGGACGUCCUGUUCGAUAGUACAACUGCUUGCUCGGCCGCCGGUCACUCAAGGAGCUUGUCAUUGCCUACCGUGCAACAAUCAAGCGUGUGCUAAUUGUGACUGAGGUUGCACUGCCCAGCAAUACAGGCAGCAGUUUCACACUACAGGUAAAUGACAUUGCCUCUGAGAUAAUUAUCUUGCAAAUGAUCAGCAAGAAGAUUUACAGUUUAUUUAUGUGUUUAUUUAGCUCCACCCAAUACUGUAAAAAUGCAUGAGUCUAAUACCCUGUGGCCUAGCUGACCGAAUUAGCAUGCAAGCUUCUCCUUUCACCAUGAAAGAAAUGAUAGAUUCAACAGUUGCUAGGUAAAUCACAAAUCUAUUUACUAGAUGUAUUACUACCCAACAUUCAUGUCGUCAGAAAAGUUCAUGUAUUACUACCAUGGGAGUUCAAAGAAAGGUCAUCUAUAAAAUAGUAUAACUUGUGAGCUUCUUGCAGACUAAUGACGAGUUACUAGAUAAACUUAGGCACCACACCACAGUCCAUUCACUGCCGCAUCUGAGGCUGUUCAAUGAUGCAACAACGAGGUCUGGCCUCCCCCCUUCCUAUUUUCAUGAAGCAUAUUCUGCAAAAAUAUCAGACGCUCUCAACUGAAUAAAAAGUGUGUCGCACAAGUUCAGGUAUAACUGCUGCAGGAGUUCAAAAAUCUCAACAAACAAAGCUCAAACCAAAGUUCAAGAACUGUUUCCUUCAUAAACUAGUUUUCUUUUCGUUAAUUUGUUGUUCUAGACAUUACAGAUGUACAUUCUUCACCAAGUCGAGCAGCAAAGUUGUCGCACCAAAUCGAACUUGCUACUGCACCAUCUUCACCAAGUCGAACUUGCAGCCGCCAGGUACCAUAGUUGCUCAACUUGAUCUCUCUGGUAGCUCAUCCGGCAAGACUGCUCAAUGGUAUGACUUCUUUGCACAAAAUCAGAUCUGGUAGUUUGUCUGAGAGACACAUUUGUUCUGUAUCGUACUGCACCUUGUGCUCCCUUCAUCCCAUCCAUGCUUAGAUGAGAUUUUUCUGUGCAAUCAGACUUGGGCUAGGGUCAAAAAAUUGGUGAUCUUAGUUCUGAAUUGCUGGGCAUGCAACUCCUCGGUUGUUAAUUGCUAAGUGAUAGUCUGAACAAUCGAUAAGGGAGCCGCUACGCAUUACUAUUGAAACACAAGGUUGUUGCAUUUCUCAAAAAAAAAGUCUAAACCAAGGAGCCGCUGUGCACCAAUCCUCCCCGCCGCGCGGCGACCACCUCUGUCGCCCCGAGUUCCCAGCUGCAUGCAUUCAGGAGCAAGAAAAAAGAGAGGUUAAUUGUCCAUCCACACCGCCUCUCCUCCCAAGUCCACACUAGUUUUAUCACAAAAAGCAGAGGAUGUCUAUUUUAUUUCCUGAAACACAAAGUAGGUGUUCUCAGUUCAAUACGUGAGCUAUCUCAUGUUCUUGGAAAACAUAUAAAACAGUAUGGUGUUUGUGCAAAAAUUCAGACUGUUUUCUAAUUAUACAGCAGUUUACUAAAUGGUAGAAUUGUAGUUGUUCAGUAAAAAGGUUCACUACCCCAAAUGGGGGAUUUUCAAUCCGUUUUGUCUUUCUUUUCCAGCUGAAAGUUGUAGCAAAUGUGAACUGAAGCUGUUGUGGAGCAAAUUAGGAAUAGUUGCCUACUCUUUUGCCGCUGCUACCUUGCCACCUAGAUUAAUACUACUACUACUACUUAUCGUGUUGCUAAACCACAUGUUCUGGACAAUUUGUGGGAAAGUGUGGAGGCGCAAGUGGCUCCGCGACCGAGGAAGGCCCCGGUGCUUGCCAUGGCUGAAGACGGCCUCCAACCGCCGGGCCCAAAGCAGCCAGCCUUUGUUCGCAUGUGUGUCUCCUUCCUGCGUCACCUAGUAGUCCUACUUCUCCAUGACGACAAGGACGACGUCGCCAUGCGUGCAUGCUCCAACCUGUCCCCUGUCGCAGCCCCACCACUCGAUGCCGAUGCACUCCAACCCGAGGACCACCAUGAUGGAGGUCGCCUCACAGCAUAGCGACGAGUGUUUGUUGGUUUCUCUUUCAUUUACGGACAUCUUGGGCUUGCUGGGUGCAGAAUCAAGAAUCCCAAUCAUCAUCAGGGAUGUAAAAAGGAGAGAAGCAUGGGAAGAGGUACUAGUGGAAGAGGAAGAAGUAAUGUGAAAAAUGAGAUAAAUGUGACAAUAGCAAGUAGAAAAGCAUGAGAGGGAUUCAGAUUUUGUUUUCACAUUCUUGCUGUACACGUACCUUUGGUCUGUAGAUGCACCGUAAUGGAUCUAGGAAGUAUGAAUGGUUAAUACCUUAAUGGUGCACUAUGCAUCUUUGGCAGGUUUUUAUGCCUUUUUAAAUGGUUGUGGAGCAAUUUAAUGGUGCGCUAUGCACUGAAGUAUAUAUUGUUUAUAUGUUCUUGUA